rnacentral:rRNA from 1 species
GACAGAGGGUGCAAACGUUGCUCGGAAUUACUGGGCGUAAAGCGCGUGUAAGUGGUCACGCAAGUCAGGUGUGAAAGCCCAGGGCUCAACCCUGGAAGUGCACAUGAUACUACGUGGCUGGAGUACUGAAGAGGAGAGCGGAAUUCCCGGUGUAGAGGUGAAAUUCGUAGAUAUCGGGAGGAACACCAGUGGCGAAGGCGGCUCUCUGGGCAGAUACUGACGCUGAGGCGCGAAAGCGUGGGUAGCAAACAGG